CUCGGCGGCUAGAACGGAUCAUCAAGGACACGCUGGAAGAUCUCGGGGAGGACAAGGAGCGGCUGGAGAAACUCCUCACAGGGAGACGGGUUCUGCUGGCCGAGGAACUCAAAAAAAUUCGAAAAAUCCAAGAUAGAUUAGAAGAAUUCAUUCAAGCAUUGAACAAGGAGAAAUAGUGCAUAAUCUUUGUAGGAUAACUAAAUCCCCCAACCUGGUUGUAGUGAAGACAGGAAGUUUGCAACACGUGCAAUGAAGGGGACUGACAAGUCAUAAACAAACCAUUGUCUAUGGACGACUUGGACAGUGAUGAAACUAUGGUGUGCCAUGUUGGGUUCUGACUGACUGGCAGAUCAAGUUUCUCUAUAGCAAGGCCAUGAGAUGUCUACCCUGGGAAAUGGCUGUGCUUAAGUGCUGUAUAUCAUGUAGGGUGUGUGUGGAAGAGUGAUGUAGCUAGGUCUGCAGAAUGAAGAAGCCAUUCGAUUUACAAUGUGACUAUUAUUUAUGACUGUUUUCUCAUCGUGUGCAUCAUUCCUGUUUAUCAGGGACAUUCAUACUGGUGUCCAUUCCUUGUCCGGAUCAAUUCCUGCAACAUCAGCCAUGAUGUAUUGGAUCUAGACGAUGCCAGAUUAGUGUUGUAGCUUCAGGACAUUAGCUGUGAAAAUUCAGGAAAUGCAGUUCUAUAAACAUUUAUGCUUGUAUAGUGUUUUUGAUUUACGAAGGUAGCUUCAUAAAUUAGGACCGAGGGUUUGAUAAUGGCUGGAUGGAGAGUGUAUUUGAUAAGUAAUAAGUCAUCCCUUAAAAGGGGCGAAGGGGUAGCUGAGUGGUUAAAGCGUUUGCUCGUUAAGCCGAAUAUCCGGGUUCGAUUCCCCACAUGGGUACAAUGUGUGAAGCCCAUUUCUGGUGCCCCCCGCCCUGAUAUUGCUGGACUAUUGCUGAAAGCAGCGUAAAACUAAACUCAAUCAGUCACCCCUUAAAUGGUUGAUAAUAGUAUCAGUGCUUCAGACUGUUGAAAAGAAAAGAAAUUGUCUACAGCAAAAGAGUCAUUGUUGCAUGACAGUAUAAAAAUAAUACCUUAGCUCAGAAAAAAGAGGUAGGGUUGCAAAAUGGAGGUUAGUUUCCAUACAAACUUAAGUCCACCUGUAGAAUAUCAAGUGCUCAGUCUCUUCGGGGUCCCUUCAUGUCCAAAGUACUGAUCUGUCAACAUGAAUUGACUACAUAAUUAUCAUGCUUGAUGUUGAUGUUGGAAGCAAAGUGUUUCGAAUGAAAUUUUGCUAAGUAUGCUUCACAUUAAUGAAAUCUUAACAUUUUAAAGAACAUGUUGUUUCUAUGAUAUUUUUGCAGAAGUGAGUGAGCAUCGUAAUCAUUCCCUCUGUCGCCUGUCCAUCAUGCUUACUCAAUGACCCCCUGAAAAUCCACUGAUGUAAUAAAAACAUGACAUAUUAUAUCGACAGCCUUA